GCCCCCGUUGUCUAAUGGUUAUGACGUCAGACUUCUACGUUUCAAUGAGCUACGACAAUCUGGAGGUUGCGGGUUCGAGUCCCGCCGGGGGUU
rnacentral:tRNA from 1 species